CUGCGCNGCUACCAUGCAGUCGAGCGGAACGACACUAACAAUCCUUCGGGUGCGUUAAUGGGCGUCGAGCGGCGGACGGGUGAGUAAUGCCUAGGAAAUUGCCUUGAUGUGGGGGAUAACCAUUGGAAACGAUGGCUAAUACCGCAUAAUGCCUACGGGCCAAAGAGGGGGACCUUCGGNCCUCUCGCGUCAAGAUAUGCCUAGGUGGGAUUAGCUAGUUGGUGAGGUAAUGGCUCACCAAGGCGACGAUCCCUAGCUGGUCUGAGAGGAUGAUCAGCCACACUGGAACUGAGACACGGUCCAGACUCCUACGGGAGGCAGCAGUGGGGAAUAUUGCACAAUGGGCGAAAGCCUGAUGCAGCCAUGCCGCGUGUAUGAAGAAGGCCUUCGGGUUGUAAAGUACUUUCAGUUGUGAGGAAGGGUGUGUAGUUAAUAGCUGCGCAUCUUGACGUUAGCAACAGAAGAAGCACCGGCUAACUCCGUGCCAGCAGCCGCGGUAAUACGGAGGGUGCGAGCGUUAAUCGGAAUUACUGGGCGUAAAGCGCAUGCAGGUGGUUCAUUAAGUCAGAUGUGAAAGCCCGGGGCUCAACCUCGGAACUGCAUUUGAAACUGGUGAACUANAGUGCUGUANAGGGGGGUAGAANUUCCANGUGUANCGGUGAAAUGCGUAGAGAUC
rnacentral:rRNA from 1 species